rnacentral:lncRNA from 1 species
GGUGAGGAUAUAGCUACCUUUCUACGAGCCUCUACUUAAUUUUAUAAGAGAGGCUUGUUUUUCCAAGCCCUCUCUCUGUCCUCUUUUGGAUGAAGGGCAGAGCUAUGCCAAAAUUUGGCCAAAAUCCUAAUAUUAAUUUUAUUUAAGUUUUAAUUCUCAUUGUGAACCUUGUGAUUGUGUAUUUAUGGAUUUUUCAUUGUGAAGGAUGGUCAUUAAGUUUUAAAAUAUGUUUCAUUGAGGUAGAUAUCUCCUCGGCCUUUCAAAUAUCCCAUGGGUUUCAAGGGCCUUGGAUUUUCUUCAAUCAAUCACUCAAUUUCUUUUUUUUCAAUGUGAGAUUCUGAAUAGUUGUAGAUUUUUUUGUUAGAUUUUUGAAAAGAUAAGUCUCGCUUGAUUUGGAGUAAGAAGGAAUUUUUGGUGAAUUUUUGAGUUUGAGGGAGUCGACUGCCUUUGCAGUUUGAAUCAAUCGACUUCGGAAAGGCAUUUCUCAGUGCCUGAUGAUUUUCUUUAUUUGAAAUUUUUAGAGCAUCAAUAUUUACAAGCUAAUCUCUGAAAGGAAAAUUUUUUGUUGAAUUUGAAGACAAUCUGAAUUUUUAGUGAAUUUCUAAGUGAAGAGGGUAGGUCACCGCGGUAGUUUGGAUCACUCAACUUCAAAGGAGGAAUUCUCACGACUGAAUCAUUAGAUUGCAACGAAGAUUGUUGGAUAAAAAGCGCCUUCAAGUUAGCUUUGCA